rnacentral:rRNA from 1 species
GAUGAACGCUGGCGGCGUGCCUAAUACAUGCAAGUCGAGCGAACAGACGAGGAGCUUGCUCCUCUGACGUUAGCGGCGGACGGGUGAGUAACACGUGGAUAACCUACCUAUAAGACUGGGAUAACUUCGGGAAACCGGAGCUAAUACCGGAUAAUAUAUUAAACCGCAUGGUUCAAUAGUGAAAGACGGUUUUGCUGUCACUUAUAGAUGAAUCCGCGCCGCAUUAGCUAGUUGGUAAGGUAACGGCUUACCAAGGCAACGAUGCGUAGCCGACCUGAGAGGGUGAUCGGCCACACUGGAACUGAGACACGGUCCAGACUCCUACGGGAGGCAGCAGUAGGGAAUCUUCCGCAAUGGGCGAAAGCCUGACGGAGCAACGCCGCGUGAGUGAUGAAGGUCUUCGGAUCGUAAAACUCUGUUAUUAGGGAAGAACAAAUGUGUAAGUAACUAUGCACGUCUUGACGGUACCUAAUCAGAAAGCCACGGCUAACUACGUG